rnacentral:lncRNA from 10 species
AGGCUGAGGCAGGAGAAUCACUUGAACCCAGGAGGCGGUGGAGGUUACAGUGAGCUGAGAUGGCACCAUUGCACUCCAGGCUGGACAACAGAGUGAAACACUGUCUCAAAAAAAAAAAAAAAAGAAAUGAAACCAUCCUACCUGGGGAUUCCCGGGACCACUUGGAUCAUCCAAUUGUGGGACACAGUGUGAUGGUAUUCCCUUAUGGACUAGAUCAUUCUACCCAUAAGAGAUGCUUGGCCUGCUGAAGAUUUACCAGAAGAGAUGACGUCCUAGCAGUCAACGGAAGAAAUGCUGAUGAAGCCAUCCCUUUAAAUUUUGUCAAAUUAAUCAAUGAUGGAGGGAGGGAGAAAAUUGAAAUAAACAAAGCUUGCUGCACAUUCAGCAUUAAUUAUUAGGUCAGCUUGCUCUCUGACCCCCCCGCCAAAUUUUUUUUUUAUUUUUUUGAAAUAGAGAUGGGGUCUCACUAUGUUACCCAGAAUAGUCUCAAACUCCUGGGAUCAAGCAAUUCGCUUGCCUCAGCCUCCCAAAGUACUGGGAUUACAGGCAUGAGCCCCCAUGCCUGGCCCCCUUCAUAGUUGUUUGAUGCCUAGCGUCCUAGAAUCCUGUAAACCCUAGAUGAUAAUUCCCCUUAACUGCUCUAUAGAUAAAAACUUGAACAUUAAAAAAUGUUAAUUUUUCCCUUUGAGAUAUUAUUUCAGGUCCUGCAUAACAGUGAAACUACUGACUUCAGCUGCUCUGAAGGACCCCAGUAGUAGCUGACUCACCAAAGAAGGUAGUUUUCACAUCCUGAUGAUUUCAUUGCCUGUACUUCAAUCAACCACCUCAAUUUUUCAGCCUCUUGCAUGCCACAAUCCCCUUAAAAAUCCCAGCCUAGUGUGGGUCCAAGUGCAGUGGUGUUUACAACUAAUUGAUCACAACCAGUUACAGAUGUCUUUGUUUCUCCUCCAUUCCCACUGCUUCAAUUGACUAGUCCAAAAAACAAAAAAUCCAGCCCAGAACUUUUUGAGGAGUUGGAUUUGAGGGCCCCUCUCAUCUGCUUGCUGGGUCACCCCAUGAUCAUUAAACUCUUUCUGUGCUGCAAAUCUUGCUGUCUCAGUGUAUUGGUCUGUUACUGCACAGUGUGCAUAUGAACCUGGUGAUUCUGUAACCCUGGGGCUUCUUGGAGGUUGAGGAAGGAGGCAAGCCAUCUAGGAGUGGCUUUCCAUGGGACCAGUAAAGCAGUUUGUACUGCCCAGAUUUAAAAAAUGCUACAGGGUGCACCAGAGGAAUGGCAUGGCCCUUUGCUAUCUUUCUCGAGUCCUAUAGUGGGACAAUGUGUAUAUGAUGUGGGAGAAGCACUGCAGAUUUGGAGAAAUUUAGAAACUCAGGAACAGGGUAAACUCGGUAAUCCAACAAGGGCUAACAAAGGGAAAAAAGAAAAAUCAACAGAAAGAAAAGGGGAGAUAGGGAAAGGGACCAAUAGGAGUCACCCAUGAGCAAAUGUGGCAUAAUUUGUUGGGGGCAGAAACACCCUGAAGAGAAACAGACAAACAACCUAAGACUUUAUUAGUACCCUUAUGGUAGAAACUACAGCCUAAACUGCAGUUUCAUCCCUUCCCUUCUGCCUCUAUGGAAGAAUAGGAAGAUGACUCAAUCUUUCAUUUGAUCGUCCCACUCUACCAGGAGUGGAUUCCACCAUAGCUCAGAGAUUAGGACUGGGGCAAGGUCAACCCCAUGUUCAAGCAAUAGGUGGAAACCAGAGGUCCCAUAUCAAGCUCACCAUUUCUUGUUGCCCCCCCAAAUAAAAAGAUUAUUACCUUAGUAAUAGUCUGUAAUCCUAUUACAGGGUGGAAUGUACUUUCAUCUCUGGAAAUCCAGAAACAAAUCCUGAACAGUGGCCUGACACUGAUGAUUAUAGAGGACAAAUGACUCAGAUAAAAAGGACUUUAAUACAUCUAGGUAUUGGGAAGCUCCCCAACCCAUAUAUGGCAUUUAUUACCCCUAUUUUAGAAAACAUUUUAGGCAUGGAUAUUCUGUUAGGAAAGACUUCGCAAACUUGAGUGGGAGAAUUCAGCUUGAACGUGCUGUAGUAAAGGCUGUUCUCAAGGACAGGCAAAAUGGGAACCUGAACAGCUUUCUGCUCCUAGGCGAGUUGUCAAGUUUAAAGAGUACAAAUUAUUAGGCUGGGCUCAGUGACUCACGCCUGUAAUCCCAGCACUUUGGGAU